rnacentral:rRNA from 1 species
GUGACCUCAAAUCAGGUAGGACUACCCGCUGAACUUAAGCAUAUCAAUAAGCGGAGGAAAAGAAACUAACAAGGAUUCCCCUAGUAACUGCGAGUGAACCGGGAAAAGCUCAAAUUUGUAAUCUGGCGGUCCUUGUGGCCGUCCGAGUUGUAAUCUAGAGAAGUGCUAUCCGCGCUGGACCGUGUACAAGUCUUCUGGAAUGAAGCAUCAUAGAGGGUGAGAAUCCCGUCUUUGACACGGACUGCCAGGGCUAUGUGAUGCACUUUCGAUGAGUCGAGUUGUUUGGGAAUGCAGCUCUAAAUGGGUGGUAAAUUCCAUCUAAAGCUAAAUACAGGCGAGAGACCGAUAGCGAACAAGUACCGUGAGGGAAAGAUGAAAAGAACUUUGGAAAGAGAGUUAAACAGUACGUGAAAUUGUUGAAAGGGAAACGCUUGAAGUCAGUCGCGUUGGCCGGGGAUCAACCUUGCAUUCAUUUGUGGGGCGUACUUUCUGGUUGACGGGUCAGCAUCAAUUUUGACCGUUGGAAAAAGGUUGGAGGAAUGUGGCAUCUUC